rnacentral:lncRNA from 1 species
ACGGCUGGAGAGGAUGGCAAGGUUCAGGUGUGGUCAGGGUCUCUGGGUCGGCCCCGUGGGCACCUGGGUUCCCUUUCUCUCUCUCCUGCCCUCUCUGUGGCACUCAGCCCAGAUGGUGAUCGGGUGGCUGUUGGAUAUCGAGCGGAUGGCAUUAGGAUCUACAAAAUCUCUUCAGGUUCCCAGGGGGCUCAGGGUCAGGCACUGGAUGUGGCAGUGUCCGCCCUGGCCUGGCUAAGCCCCAAGUCCCUCUGGCUCCUGUCCAGAUUCCAGAAGCCUGUGCUAGGACUGGCCACUUCCCAGGAGCUCUUGGCUUCUGCCUCAGAGGAUUUCACAGUGCAGCUGUGGCCAAGGCAGCUGCUGACGCGGCCACACAAGGCAGAAGACUUUCCCUGUGGCACUGAGCUGCGGGGACAUGAGGGCCCUGUGAGCUGCUGUAGUUUCAGCACUGAUGGAGGCAGCCUGGCCACCGGGGGCCGGGAUCGGAGUCUCCUCUGCUGGGACGUGAGGACACCCAAAACCCCUGUUUUGAUCCACUCCUUCCCUGCCUGUCACCGUGACUGGGUCACUGGCUGUGCCUGGACCAAAGAUAACCUACUGAUAUCCUGCUCCAGUGAUGGCUCUGUGGGGCUCUGGGACCCAGAGUCAGGACAGCGGCUUGGUCAGUUCCUGGGUCAUCAGAGUGCUGUGAGCGCUGUGGCAGCUGUGGAGGAGCACGUGGUGUCUGUGAGCCGG